rnacentral:rRNA from 1 species
GGGUUGUGAGGUUAAGCGACUAAGCGUACACGGUGGAUGCCCUGGCAGUCAGAGGCGAUGAAGGACGUGCUAAUCUGCGAUAAGCGCCGGUAAGGUGAUAUGAACCGUUAUAACCGGCGAUUUCCGAAUGGGGAAACCCAGUGUGACUCGUCACACUAUCAUUAACUGAAUCCAUAGGUUAAUGAGGCGAACCGGGGGAACUGAAACAUCUAAGUACCCCGAGGAAAAGAAAUCAACCGAGAUUCCCCCAGUAGCGGCGAGCGAACGGGGAGGAGCCCAGAGCCUGAAUCAGCAUGUGUGUUAGUGGAAGCGUCUGGAAAGGCGCGCGAUACAGGGUGACAGCCCCGUACACAAAAGCGCAUGUGCUGUGAGCUCGAUGAGUAGGGCGGGACACGUGGUAUCCUGUCUGAAUAUGGGGGGACCAUCCUCCAAGGCUAAAUACUCCUGACUGACCGAUAGUGAACCAGUACCGUGAGGGAAAGGCGAAAAGAACCCCGGCGAGGGGAGUGAAAAAGAACCUGAAACCGUGUACGUACAAGCAGUGGGAGCACCCUUUGGGGUGUGACUGCGUACCUUUUGUAUAAUGGGUCAGCGACUUAUAUUCUGUAGCAAGGUUAACCGAAUAGGGGAGCCGGAGGGAAACCGAGUCUUAAUUGGGCGUUAAGUUGCAGGGUAUAGACCCGAAACCCGGUGAUCUAGCCAUGGGCAGGUUGAAGGUUGGGUAACACUAACUGGAGGACCGAACCGACUAAUGUUGAAAAAUUAGCGGAUGACCUGUGGCUGGGGGUGAAAGGCCAAUCAAACCGGGAGAUAGCUGGUUCUCCCCGAAAGCUAUUUAGGUAGCGCCUCGUGAAUUCAUCUCCGGGGGUAGAGCACUGUUUCGGCUAGGGGGCCAUCCCGGCUUACCAACCCGAUGCAAACUGCGAAUACCGGAGAAUGUUAUCACGGGAGACACACGGCGGGUGCUAACGUCCGUCGUGAAGAGGGAAACAACCCAGACCGCCAGCUAAGGUCCCAAAGUCAUGGUUAAGUGGGAAACGAUGUGGGAAGGCCCAGACAGCCAGGAUGUUGGCUUAGAAGCAGCCAUCAUUUAAAGAAAGCGUAAUAGCUCACUGGUCGAGUCGGCCUGCGCGGAAGAUGUAACGGGGCUAAACCAUGCACCGAAGCUGCGGCAGCGA